rnacentral:rRNA from 1 species
AUUGAACGCUGGCGGCAGGCCUAACACAUGCAAGUCGAACGAGUGGCGGACGGGUGAGUAAUGUCUGGGAAACUGCCUGAUGGAGGGGGAUAACUACUGGAAACGGUAGCUAAUACCGCAUACCAUCAGAUGUGCCCAGAUGGGAUUAGCUAGUUGGUGGGGUAACGGCUCACCAAGGCGACGCUCCCUAGCUGGUCUGAGAGGAUGACCAGCCACACUGGACUGGAGACACGGUCCAUACUCCUCCGAGAGGAAGCAGUGGGGAAUAUUGCACAAUGGGCGCAAGCCUGAUGCAGCCAUGCCGCGUGUAUGAAGAAGGCCUUCGGGUUGUAAAGUACUUUCAGCGGGGAGGCGUUACCCGCUGAAGAAGCGCCGGCUAACUCCGUGCCAGCAGCCGCGUUAAUUC